CUGCAGCCAAUUAAGCCGACUGAGUUCCUCUCCUCACGGGGACCCAGUGUGCAAUGGCUGCAAACAGCAGCUUCCCUGGUAGUGAUGCAGUCUGUUUGUUGUAUGGGUUGCUCUAAGGGACCUUGGAGACAGUC
ensembl:snoRNA SNORA70 Small nucleolar RNA SNORA70